rnacentral:rRNA from 1 species
UACGUAGGUGGCGAGCGUUGUCCGGAUUUACUGGGCGUAAAGAGCGCGCAGGCGGUCGUUCAAGUCGAGUGUGAAAGCCCCCGGCUCAACUGGGGAGGGUCACUCGAUACUGAUCGACUCGAAGGCAGGAGAGGGAAGUGGAAUUCCCGGUGUAGUGGUGAAAUGCGUAGAUAUCGGGAGGAACACCAGUGGCGAAGGCGACUUCCUGGCCUGUUCUUGACGCUGAGGCGCGAAAGCUAGGGGAGCAAACGGG